UUGCUUACAACUUUCCAAAGAAUUCUCCUUUUGGGCUUUCUCAUUUUAUUUUAAGCCCAAAGGUGAAUUUUUUGGGAAGUAUGAGCU
rnacentral:pre_miRNA from 1 species